UAAGGAAUAUUGGUCAAUGGACGCAAGUCUGAACCAGCCAUGCCGCGUGGAGGAUGAAGGCCCUCUGGGUUGUAAACUUCUUUUAUUUGGGACGAAACACUUCUUUUCUAAGGAGCUUGACGGUACCGGAUGAAUAAGCACCGGCUAACUCCGUG
rnacentral:rRNA from 1 species